rnacentral:lncRNA from 1 species
GUGAUAUUUGGGUAAGGACACAGAUCCAAACCGUAUCAGGUGUUUGUAUUUCCUUUCAGAGUGAAGAUAUCCUCAAAUGUCUAGUGAUCCUUAACUGUCUGUUCACCUUUAAGACUACAGCACUAAAAAUCUGAUUGGAAGUUCUGAUAUAUGAGUUGGGUUGCCAACUCUGGGUCUUACCCCAGUCCUACAUUCACUGCCACUUCCAGAAAUAUCUGGUAUCACCAAUUCAUGAGCCCACUGGAGGUUUUGAGGUGCAAGUCUGGAUGAUGUAUUGGCUUUUCCUGCCAGAAUAGAAACUCCACAAAAACAGUGAUCUUGGUUUUGUUCAUUGAUGAAAUCCAAGGACUUAGAAGAGUGCCUGGCACAUGUAUAAUUACGGGAAAACGUCAGACAAACCCAAAUUGAGAGACAUUCUACAAAAUACCCAAAAAACAUCAUUUAAAGGGACCAAGUCAUGAAAAACAAGGAGACUGAGAAACUGUCACCAACUGGAGGAGCCUAUGGAGACAAAACAACUAUGUCUACGCAGCGUGGUAUUUUGGUUUGCAUUCUGGAAAGAAAAAGGACGUUGGU